AUUUAAAUGAUCUGCGUGAUUACGCGAGGGAUAGCAGCGGAAACCCCACAGCGAGGAAGGAGCGAGGAGUUGCAGCGGAUAGCCCGACCCCGA
rnacentral:misc_RNA from 1 species